UUGUACCAGUGCAGUGGUUAGCGCCCUUGUCUCCAGCCAAGGGGUCUGGGGUUCGAAUCCCAGACAAC
rnacentral:tRNA from 1 species